rnacentral:Y_RNA from 1 species
GGCUGGUCUGAGCAUAGUGGUAUUAACAACUAAUUGAUCACAACAAGUUACAGAUUCCUUUGUUCCUUUCCACUCCCACUGCUUGACCUGACUAGCCUUAA